rnacentral:rRNA from 1 species
CAGCCGCCGCGGGAAUACAGAGGGUGCGAGCGUUAAUCGGAUUUACUGGGCGUAAAGCGUGCGUAGGCGGCUUUUUAAGUCGGAUGUGAAAUCCCUGAGCUUAACUUAGGAAUUGCAUUCGAUACUGGUAAGCUAGAGUAUGGGAGAGGAUGGUAGAAUUCCAGGUGUAGCGGUGAAAUGCGUAGAGAUCUGGAGGAAUACCGAUGGCGAAGGCAGCCAUCUGGCCUAAUACUGACGCUGAGGUACGAAAGCAUGGGGAGCAAACAGGAUUAGAUACCCCCGUAGUCCCUGUCUCUUAUAC